rnacentral:rRNA from 1 species
AGUGAACGCUGGCGGUAGGCCUAACACAUGCAAGUCGAACGGCAGCACAGUAAGAGCUUGCUCUUACGGGUGGCGAGUGGCGGACGGGUGAGGAAUACAUCGGAAUCUACUUUUUCGUGGGGGAUAACGUAGGGAAACUUACGCUAAUACCGCAUACGACCUACGGGUGAAAGCAGGGGAUCUUCGGACCUUGCGCGAUUGAAUGAGCCGAUGUCGGAUUAGCUAGUUGGCGGGGUAAAGGCCCACCAAGGCGACGAUCCGUAGCUGGUCUGAGAGGCUGAUAAGCCACACUGGAACUGAGACACGGUCCAGACUCCUACGGGAGGCAGCAGUCGGGAAUAUUGGACAAUGGGCGCAAGCCUGAUCCAGCCAUCCCGCGUGGGUGAAGAAGGCCUUCGGGUUGUAAAGCCCUUUUGUUGGGAAAGAAAAGCAGCAGGUUAAUACCCCGCUGUUCUGACGGUACCCAAAGAAUAAGCACCGGCUAACUUCGUG